rnacentral:rRNA from 12 species
GGAGUGACGGCGGGUCGAAGUUGGUCAGGCUAUUAGAUGCCUGUCCCUGAGUUGGGGUGGCGGAUAGGAAAAUCCGUUCGCGUAAUCUCCGACAAGGGGGGUAACCCAGUGGAAGUCCGUCCAAGAAAACCUUCGCUGGAGCGAAACAGUGACCGUACCAAAUCUGACACAGGAAGGCGAGGCGAAUAGCCUCAGGCGCUCGAGAGAACCUUACGUGAAGGAACUAGGCAAAUUGGCCCCGUAAGUUAGCGAUAAGGGGCGCCAUCGAAAGAUGGCCACAGGAAAAUGGUGGCUGCGACUGUUUACUAAAAACACAGGUCUCUGCAAAGUCGUCGAAGACGACGUAUAGAGACUGACACUUGCCCGCUGUUGGAACGUUAAGAUGAGUGGUUAGCAUUAGCGAAGCUGCGAGUCGAAGCGCCAAUGAAGGGCGGCCGUAACAAUGACGGUCCUAAGGUAGCGAAAUUCC